AUUGAACGCUGGCGGCAGGCCUAACACAUGCAAGUCGAGCGAGCGGAUGACGGGUGAUUAAUGUAUAGGGAUCUGCCCGAUAGAGGGGGAUAACUACUGGAAACGGUGGCUAAUCCCGCAUACUAUCAGAUACGCCCAUAGGGGAUUAGCUAGUAGGUGGGGUAAAGGCUCACAUAGGACCCGAUCUAUAGCUGGUGUGAGAGGAUGAUCAGCCACACUGGGACGUAGACACGGCCCAGACUCCUACGGGAGGCAGCAGUGGGGAAUAUUGCACAAUGGGGGCAAGCCUGAUGCAGCCAUGCCGCGUGUAUGAAGAAGGCCUUAGGGUUGUAAAGUACUUUCAGCGGGGAGGCGUUACCCGCAGAAGAAGCACCGGCUAACUCCGUGCCAGCCGCCGCGGUAAUUC
rnacentral:rRNA from 1 species